UGGGCUAUAGUAUAUUCUGUAUAUCUUGCUUACGCCAAGAAAGUCCCCCUUUACCUGGGGGUAGCCUAA
rnacentral:tRNA from 1 species